GACGAACGCUGGCGGCGUGCUUAACACAUGCAAGUCGAACGGAAAGGCCCUGCUUUUGUGGGGUGCUCGAGUGGCGAACGGGUGAGUAACACGUGAGUAACCUGCCCUUGACUUUGGGAUAACUUCAGGAAACUGGGGCUAAUACCGGAUAGGAGCUCCUGCUGCAUGGUGGGGGUUGGAAAGUUUCGGCGGUUGGGGAUGGACUCGCGGCUUAUCAGCUUGUUGGUGGGGUAGUGGCUUACCAAGGCUUUGACGGGUAGCCGGCCUGAGAGGGUGACCGGGCCAAGUGGGACGAGAGUGACGCCCAAGACCCCGGCGGGAGCCAGAAGGGGGAAUUAUGGAACAGGGGGCGAAACCCUGACGGAGCACCGCCGGGGGCGGAAGGGGGCCUGUGGGGUUGAAACCCCUUUUCGCUUGGGAGAAAGGGGAAGAAAGGUAAAGGGGAAAAGAGACCCGGCUUAAAUAGGGC
rnacentral:rRNA from 1 species